rnacentral:rRNA from 1 species
AUUGAACGCUGGCGGCAGGCCUAACACAUGCAAGUCGAGCGAGCGGAGGACGGGUGAGUAAUGUAUGGGGAUCUGCCUGAUGGAGGGGGAUAACACUUGGAAACGGUAGCUAAUACCGCAUACCAUCAGAUGAAGCCAUAUGGGAUUAUCUUGUGGGUGAGGUAACGGCUCACCUAGGCGACGAUGCCUAGCUGGUCUGAGAGGAUGAUCAGCCACACUGGGACUGAGAAACGGCCCAGACUCCUACGGGAGGCAGCAGUGGGGAAUAUUGCACAAUGGGCGAAAGCCUGAUACAGCCAUGCCGCGUGUAUGAAGAAGGCCUUCGGGUCGUAAAGUACUGUCAGUCGGGAGGCGUUACCGACAGAAGAAGCACCGGCUAACUACGUGCCAGCAGCCGCGGUAAUAC